AUUGAACGCUGGCGGCAUGCCUUACACAUGCAACUCGAACGGUAACGGGCCUUCGGGUGCCGACGAGUGGCGAACGGGUGAGUAAUACAUCGGAACGUGCCCGAUCGUGGGGGAUAACGAGGCGAAAGCUUUGCUAAUACCUCAUACGAUCUACGGAUGAAAGCAGGGGACCGCAAGGCCUUGCGCGGACGGAGCGGCCGAUGGCAGAUUAGGUAGUUGGUGGGAUAAAAGCUUACCAAGCCGACGAUCUGUAGCUGGUCUGAGAGGAUGAUCAGCCACACUGGGACUGAGACACGGCCCAGACUCCUACGGGAGGCAGCAGUGGGGAAUUUUGGACAAUGGGCGCAAGCCUGAUCCAGCCAUGCCGCGUGCAGGAUGAAGGCCUUCGGGUUGUAAACUGAUUUUGUACGGAACGAAAAGCCUUCUUUUAAUACAGGAGGGUCAUGACGGUACCGUAAGAAUAAGCACCGGCUAACUACGUG
rnacentral:rRNA from 1 species